rnacentral:rRNA from 1 species
CCUACAGGAGGCAGCAGUGGGGGAUAUUGCACAAUGGGGGGAACCCUGAUGCAGCGACGCCGCGUGGGUGAAGGAGUGCUUCGGCAUGUAAAGCCCUAUCGGCCGGGAAGAAGCAAGACGGUACCUGACUAAGAAGCCCCGGCUAACUACGUGCCAGCAGCCGCGGUAAUACGUAGGGGGCGAGCGUUAUCCGGAUUUACUGGGUGUAAAGGGAGCGUAGGUGGCAUGGUAAGCCAGAAGUGAAAACCCGGGGCUCAACCCCGCGGAUUGCUUUUGGAACUAUCAGGCUGGAGUGCUGGAGGGGUAAGCGGAAUUCCUAGUGUAGCGGUGAAAUGCGUAGAUAUUAGGAGGAACACCGGUGGCGAAGGCGGCUUACUGGACAGAAACUGACACUGAGGCUCGAAAGCGUGGGGAGCAAACAGGAUUAGAUACCCGUGUAGUC